UUAGCAUAUGAUGAGAAGCAAGACAAGAACAUCUGCAGUGCAUCUGAAUCAAAUCAAGAUGCAGCAACAGGAUGACUCAUGUCUAGGGGAAUCUCUGAUGCUAU
rfam:Oryza sativa (indica cultivar-group) chromosome 6, whole genome shotgun sequence.